rnacentral:rRNA from 1 species
CAAAUGAAUUGACGGGGGCCCGCACAAGCGGUGGAGCAUGUGGUUUAAUUCGAUGCAACGCGAAGAACCUUACCUGGUCUUGACAUCCACAGAACUUUCCAGAGAUGGAUUGGUGCCUUCGGGAACUGUGAGACAGGUGCUGCAUGGCUGUCGUCAGCUCGUGUUGUGAAAUGUUGGGUUAAGUCCCGCAACGAGCGCAACCCUUAUCCUUUGUUGCCAGCGGUCCGGCCGGGAACUCAAAGGAGACUGCCAGUGAUAAACUGGAGGAAGGUGGGGAUGACGUCAAGUCAUCAUGGCCCUUACGACCAGGGCUACACACGUGCUACAAUGGCGCAUACAAAGAGAAGCGACCUCGCGAGAGCA